rnacentral:tRNA from 1 species
GGGCCUCUAGCUCAUCUGGUAGAGCAAGUGACUCUUAAUCACUGGGUGGCAAGUUCGAGUCUUGCGAGGCCCACCA